rnacentral:tRNA from 1 species
GUUUGCCCUGCUGCAGCCGGUGGUGGGCGGCCUGUCGGACCGCGUGGGCCGGCGUCCGAUCCUGAUCGGGUUCGGCGUCCUGGGCACGCU